CAAAGAUUAAGCCAUGCAUGUCUAAGUACGAGCCUUCCUUAGUGUGAAACCGCGAACGGCUCAUUAAAUCAGUCAUAAUCCAUUGGAUGCAGUUCAUCCCUACUCGGAUAACUGUGGCAAUUCUAGAGCUAAUACGUGCACUUGAGCUCCGACGCCGAGGGGGUCGGCUCCUUCGGGAGCCUCCCUCUCGGGGGAAGGGCGCAGUUAUUAGAAUCAUAAACCGAGGCGGGCUCUCGAGUCCGAAACCUCUCGGCUAUGGUGACUCUGGAUAACGGUUGCCAAGCGCUCAGGCCCUCGAGCCGGCGCUGCAUCUUUUCGAGUGACUGCCCUAUCAGCUUUCGAUCGUAGGAUCGGGGCCUACGAUGGCUGUAACGGGUAACGGGGAAUCAGGGUUCGAUUCCGGAGAGGGAGCCUGAGAAACGGCUACCACAUCUAAGGAAGGCAGCAGGCACGCAAAUUACCCAAUCCCGGUUCGGGGAGGUAGUGACGAUAAAUACCGAUGCGGGACUCAUCCGAGGCCUCGCAAUCGGAAUGAGCUCACCUUAAAAAAGUGGGCGAGGAUCGAUUGGAGGGCAAGUCUGGUGCCAGCAGCCGCGGUAAUUCCAGCUCCAAUAGCGUAUAUUAAAGUGNNNNNNNNNNNNAAAGCAGGCCUAAAGCUCUUUACGCCUGAAUAGUAAUGCAUUGAAUGAUGGAACAGGACCUCGGUUCUGACUUAUUUUUUUCUCGGUUUUUCCCGAACCCGAGGUAAUGAUUAACGGGAACGGUCGGGGGCAUUAGUAUUGCGACGCGAGGGGUGAAAUCCAGUGACCGUCGCAAGACUACCUACUGCGAAAGCAUUUGCCAAGAACGCUUUCAUUAAUCAAGAACGAAAGUUAGAGGAUCGAAGGCGAUCAGAUACCGCCCUAGUUCUAACUAUAAACGAUGCCAACUAGCGAUCCGCGUACAGUCAUUCCCAAGACUGCGCGGGAAGCCCCCGGGAAACCUAAGUCUUUGGGUUCCGGGGGUAGUAUGGUUGCAAAGCUGAAACUUAAAGGAAUUGACGGAAGGGCACCACCAGGAGUGGAGCCUGCGGCUUAAUUUGACUCAACACGGGAAACCUCACCAGGCCCGGACACCGGAAGGAUUGACAGAUUGAGAGCUCUUUCUCGAUUCGGUGGUUGGUGGUGCAUGGCCGUUCUUAGUUGGUGGAGCGAUUUGUCUGGUUAAUUCCGAUAACGA
rnacentral:rRNA from 1 species